AUUUCCCACUUAUUUUCAACUUUUACUUAUGAAAAAAUUGUUUACGUUAAAGCCUGCUUUGUUUACUAAUAUGUAAACUUUAAGCUAAGCCAAACGCGUUUUAAUAAAUAAUAAUAUACAUAGAUUUUAAACAAACAGCGCUACCGUAAUACUACUAUUCACUCGCGUAGAAGCCUCUCAUUCCGCCGCCCGAUUUUGUGUUUACUUCGAAAUUCCCUCAGAUCUGUGUUUUUCCUUUUACAUUCAUCAACUGUGCCCCGCGGUUAUCCACAAAUAUAAUCAUCAAAUGCUUGUUUUUUCAUUGUGAAUUUUUCGACAGUUGAUAAUCAGUCGGAAUGGUGAUUUAUGGACCAUUAAUACUUGGUCAGGUGACUCAGGUCAGUGAAUAUUUCUUAACUAUAGCUAUUUCGAGCUUAUUGUAUUGUACCAUUAGAUCCUAAUUGUUUUAGGUGGAUUUUGUAGAAUUUGCCUGUUCUUAUUGCUAUAGUAAAGAACUGUGUAGGAGAGUGUAUUAUGUGCUUAAAUUGCGAGUUCCUUUUAAAGUUCCGUACUUAAAUAAUUUGAUGAGUUAAUUUUCUUUAUUUUAUGAAAGCAUAGCUUGAUGAAUUAAUUGUUUUUCCUUUUCCUUUGUGUGAAUUGCAGGUGUCAUUUUUCUUGGGAUAGUACCAAUAUGCAUUGACUGGAUAUGCUCAGAGUAUCUGGAGCAUAGGAAAAAUCCCUCAUGGAAACUGUGUCGAUCUUUGAUCAAAUUUGAACGUAAAACGUUGAAGUAAUUUAGACAAUGUGUGGAACAUUAUGUGUGAAGAUGUUUGAAGUGAUUUAUUAUGGUUUCUUAUAGAUACAUUUGCUGAAUGGUAUGAAUAUUUGGUACCACAGCUGCUCGAAUGGCUUAUCAAAUUAUUCACUGAUUUAUUAUUAUUAUUAAUAUUUUUGAGUUUAUGAGACAUAUAGUAGAUUUUGUUGAAUUAAUGAGUGUGUUCUCUGGUGUGAGUUCUGACUGAAGCCAAAAGGCUCAGAAAAAUGGUGAGGAACAUAAUGUUAAUGUAUAGUUCUAUGUGUUUUCAUCCGAUCCUUUGGAAUUUUGUUACAUCAGUAAUGUACUUCAAAUUCAGGAUUCCUUUUGUGUGUGUGUGUUAUUUAGGUACAUAAAGUAUGAUAUAUAUUGUGUUAUAAUGAUAAUAGUUUUCUGAAGGAUUGUAAAAUUCCCUGUCCAAAUCUUGUACAUUUCAGUGGCAGGAAUUCUGAUAUAAAUUUGGUCGAGUUGGGAAAGGAAACACUCAAAGAAGAUAACAGAGCUGUUCUAUCGGAAGGAGGUGCUCUCUAGUCUUCAUCUCCUAAAGUUAGGAAUUCAUCUGUAACAUCUCGCAUUAUCAGGUAAGUAACAAACAAGGUUAAAAUAAGUUGGAGUUGUACCUUACUUUUACGUUCUUGUAUAUGCUUAUCUUCUCUGGUUCCUUAAAUUGGACGAGUCUUUCCUACUUGAGAUAUUUGGCAUUAUAUUUGACAAACUGAUGCCUUCAAAUGUAAAACUGUAAAAGAUGCAGUUGUUUUUAUAAAAAUAUUAAUAGGAAGUUGUGAUAUGUAAAACUUGUGAGAUCAACACUUAAACAGGUGUGAUAUAUGAACGUUAUUAUAUUUUUGUUGUUAGACAACAAGGACAAUGUGAAAAAAAAAAAAAAAAAAAAAAAAUUCUUUGGGUAGUGCACAUUGGUAUGAUAUUUUAUCAAUUACGCUUGUUAGGUUUGAUUAAUAAAGUAGGACUAAUCAUUUAGCUGUCAUGUGAAACAGAAAGAAGCAAUAUUUAAUGUAACAACUGUAGCUUUGUUUCUAUUCCUUUCUUUUUGGUUUGCAUUAACCCUGUCUUUGAUAAUUAGAUAUUUACCCCCUUGAAUAUAACGAACUGGGUCUUAAUAUUGGUUCAUGUAGAGAAACGGAAAACUUGAGCUGUAAUUUUAGGUGCUUAACUGAAAUUCAUCAAAUCAAUAA
rnacentral:lncRNA from 1 species